GAAAGGAAGAGCCCAUGCUAAGGAAGCCCCCGCCGCCGGAGCCGCUGGGAAGAGGGUAGAAGAGCCGCAGAAGGCAACUGGAUAUUCAUAUGCUGCAGAGGAGGAAAGGGAUGAAGAAUAUAAUCCUGAAGAAUCUUCUGAUGAGGAAGAUUAUAGUAUUCAACAGGAGACGUAAAGUGACAGUGAGGAGGAAACAGCUGCAACAAUACAUGAAAUAACGCCGAAACGAAAAGCUCUUCUGGAAAGACUAAGAAAAAAGGCAGAACUACAUGGCGAGCUACAUGAGCACUCUUUCCAAAACGAUCCAGAGUGGCCAAGCAUCA